rnacentral:rRNA from 1 species
GACGAACGCUGGCGGCGUGCCUAAUACAUGCAAGUCGAACGCAGUGGGGACGGGUGAGUAACACGUGGGUAACCUCCCAUCACAGGGGAUAACACUUGUAAACAGUUGCUAAACCGAUACUGAUGGAUGGACCCGCGGUGCAUUAGCUGGGUGGUGAGGUAACUGCUCACCAAGGCCACGAUGCAUAGCCGACCUGAGAGGGGGAGCGGCCACACUGGAACUGGGAAACGGCCCAGACUCCUACGGGAGGCAGCAGUAGGGAAUCUUCGGCAAUGGGCGAAAGUCUGACCGAGCAACGCCGCGUGAGUGAAGAAGGUUUUCGGAUCGGAAAACUCUGUUGUUAGAGAAGCGGUAUCUAACCAGAAAGCCACGGCUAACUACGUGCCAGCAGCCGCGGUAAUUC